CCGACCUGACACUGAAGUUCGACUAUCUGUCAAGAAGAAUAAGUGCAAGGAGAAGCUGGAGGCCGCUGAGGUCAUCGUAGUCAAAGCUUUUUGAUCUUCGAUCGAGUUUUGGGACCUGAAGGUGGAGUAUGGCUCGGCCUCAUACUUACAGGGGAUCAAGGACUUCAAGUAGAAGGUCAGGAAUCACUUUUCUGACCUUAACCUUGGACCCCUAG
rnacentral:lncRNA from 1 species